GACGUGUUUUUUAUCUGUAAACUAUUUGUUUAAAGCAUCGAACAAAUGAAAAACGUAUUUCGGAUUGUGUGUUUAUCGUGCAUAAAUGUAAACAUAGAUAGGAAUACAAAUUAUAAUAAUACAAUACAAUUGUUUGGUUAGAACUAAGUUUCGAUAAAGACAUGGAAUGAUAGAAGUGGAAGUGCAUAUCGCUUCAAGCUCCCGGGUACCGCGGAUGCUACUUGGAUUCGGCAACCCGUGUCUUUCCUAUUCAAAAGACUCCCAACUCGCGCACAAACACGCCUUGGGAAUGUGCCUCUCGCUGCAUUGGUUAAGCUUUAAGCGGUGUUGAGGGCCAUGAUGAGUGUUACUGUGGCACAGUACUACCCAAAGUGCAAAAGCCUGACUCCGAAUGUAACUAUCCGUGUCCUGGGAACAGCACCUUGAAAUGCGGCGGGUACGGUUGGAGAAUCAGCGUCUAUAGCAACUAGGAGUGCUGAACAACGUUGCAUAAUACAAACAGCCAAAAAUUUCAACUCAGCGCUUUCUGAAAACUGAUGCUGGCUUUUGUUCAUAAAAUAAAGAAUAUUUCUUACUAUCCUUUUCAACCUCCUGAUUACAGAGAAAAUUGUUUGCAGUCUGUUUUACUAAGACACUUCAUUAAUGUUGUUUAGAGUGAUUUGACAUAUUACUUGGUAAUUACAUGUUGUCUUUGUCACAUUAACAUGUGUUUAAAACCAGUCGUGGAAUAAAUGAAUAUUACUAGAAAAUGCUGAAAAGACUAAUAUUUCAGGAA